rnacentral:lncRNA from 1 species
AAAAAGAAAAUUUCUUCAAACAUUUUUUUGAGAGGAUUAAUAUUGAACAGCAUAGUGAAUUGCUCUAAGAGAAAACAAAAAUUUUAAGUUCAUUAGAACACAUUCAUUCUGUGUCAGAAACCUAUGCUGUGUCAACUAUUUAAUCACAAUCCAAAUUUAGAGCUGAAUCCAGCUUGAAUGUUGUGUCCAUACUUGCCCCAACCGUUCAGGGUUCAACCUCUGCGGUCGUAUUAAGCUACGCCCUGCGAAGCAUCUGGUU